rnacentral:rRNA from 1 species
AUUGAACGCUGGCGGCAUGCUUUACACAUGCAAGUCGAACGGCAGCGCGGGCUUCGGCCUGGCGGCGAGUGGCGAACGGGUGAGUAAUGCAUCGGAACGUGCCCAGUAGUGGGGGAUAGCCCGGCGAAAGCCGGAUUAAUACCGCAUACGACCUGAGGGUGAAAGCGGGGGACCGAAAGGCCUCGCGCUAUUGGAGCGGCCGAUGGCGGAUUAGCUAGUUGGUGGGGUAAAGGCUUACCAAGGCGACGAUCCGUAGCUGGUCUGAGAGGACGACCAGCCACACUGGGACUGAGACACGGCCCAGACUCCUACGGGAGGCAGCAGUGGGGAAUGUUGGACAAUGGGGGCAAUCCUGAUCCAGCCAUGCCGCGUGCGGGAAGAAGGCCUUCGGGUUGUAAAACGCUUUUGUUCGGGAAGAAAUCCUCUGGGCUAAUACCCCGGGGGGAUGACGGUACCGGAAGAAUAAGCACCGGCUAACUACGUG